rnacentral:misc_RNA from 1 species
UCCGGGUUGGACCCGGCGGUCCCGCCAGACAUGGUAACUGGCAGCGAGGGUUGCGCUCGUUGCGGGACUUAACCCAACACCUCACGGCACGAGCUAACGACAGCCAUGCAGCAUCUGUGCGCGCUCCCUUGCGGGUCCUCCCCCUUUCGGAGUCGUACCACGCGCAUGUCAAGCCCAGGUAAGGUUCUUCGCGUUGCGUCGAAUUAAACCACACGCUCCGCUGCUUGUGCGGGCCCCCGUCAAUUCCUUUGAGUUUUAGCCUUGCGGCCGUAGUCCCCAGGCGGAGCACUUAUCGCGUUGGCUGCGGCACCGAGGGGGUCGAUACCAGAAACAUCUAGCACUCAUCGUUUACGGCGUGGACUAC